AUUGAACGCUGGCGGCAUGCUUUACACAUGCAAGUCGAACGGUAACAGGCCGCAAGGUGCUGACGAGUGGCGAACGGGGGAGUAAUGCAUCGGAACGUGCCCAGUCGUGGGGGAUAACUACUCGAAAGAGUAGCUAAUACCGCAUACGAUCUAUGGAUGAAAGCCGGGGACCGUAAGGCCUCGCGCGAUUGGAGCGGCCGAUGUCAGAUUAGGUAGUUGGUGGGGUAAAGGCUCACCAAGCCAACGAUCUGUAGCUGGUCUGAGAGGACGACCAGCCACACUGGGACUGAGACACGGCCCAGACUCCUACGGGAGGCAGCAGUGGGGAAUUUUGGACAAUGGGCGCAAGCCUGAUCCAGCAAUGCCGCGUGCAGGAAGAAGGCCUUCGGGUUGUAAACUGCUUUUGUACGGAACGAAACGGCUCUGGUUAAUACCCGGGGCUAAUGACGGUACCGUAAGAAUAAGCACCGGCUAACUACGUG
rnacentral:rRNA from 1 species